rnacentral:misc_RNA from 1 species
GAUGAAGAACGCAGCGAAAUGCGAUAAGUAAUGUGAAUUGCAGAAUUCAGUGAAUCAUCGAAUCUUUGAACGCAUCUUGCGCUCCUUGGUAUUCCUUGGAGCAUGCCUGUUUGAGUAUCAUGAGCAAAUCUCAAAGUCAAUUCCUUUUGUUAAUUCAAUUGGUUUUGCUUUGGACUUGGAGGUCUUGCAGAUUUCACAGUCUGCUCCUCUUAAAUGCAUUAGCUGGAUCUCAGUAAUUAUGCUUGGUUCCACUCGGCGUGAUAAGUAUCACUCGCUGAGGACACUGUUAAAAAAGGUGGCCAGGAAAAUACUGAUUGAACCGCUUCUAACGGUCUAUUAAGUUAGACAAUUACCCUUAAGUUUGAUCUCAAAUCAGGUAGGACUACCCGCUGAACUUAAGCAUAUCAAUAAGCGGAGGA